rnacentral:lncRNA from 1 species
UGUAACAUACCGAACUUCACAAAUCAUGAAGUCACGGUGUACAUUUAAAUGGUUCCGGUGCGGUUGCGGUGGAAUGUAACAUACCGGAUUUUAAAUAUAAAAGUGAAAAUAAAUAAAAAAUAGUAUGAGAUACUAUUUUAUUGGGUUUAGAGAAGUGAAAUAUUGAUUGGGAAAGACCUGUGCUGAAAUCGGAGCGAAAACAAAAGAUUUAGAAUUUUCUGUGAGAAACGGGGCAGAUAU